GACGAACGCUGGCGGCGUGCUUAACACAUGCAAGUCGAACGGUGACCCAUCUUCGGAUGGUGAUCAGUGGCGAACGGGUGAGUAACACGUGGGCAACCUGCCCCUAGCUCUGGGAUAACUCCUCGAAAGAGGUGCUAAUUCCGGAUAUCACCUCCCUGGACAUCCAGGGUGGUUGAAAGUUUUUCGGCUAGGGAUGGGCCCGCGGCCUAUCAGCUUGUUGGUGGGGUAAUGGCCUACCAAGGCGACGACGGGUAGCCGGCCUGAGAGGGCGACCGGCCACACUGGGACUGAGACACGGCCCAGACUCCUACGGGAGGCAGCAGUGGGGAAUAUUGCGCAAUGGGCGAAAGCCUGACGCAGCAACGCCGCGUGAGGGAUGACGGCCUUCGGGUCGUAAACCUCUUUCAGCAGGGACGAAGCGAAAGUGACUGUACCUGCAGAAGAAGCGCCGGCUAACUACGUGCCAGCCGCCGCAGUAACAC
rnacentral:rRNA from 1 species